UGGGAGAAAACAGGAUUAGAUACCCUGGUAGUCCACGCUGUAAACGAUGAUGAUUAGCUGAUGGGGAACUCAUCGGCACAGCUAACGCAUUAAAUCAUCCGCCUGAGUAGUAUGCUCGCAAGAGUGAAACUUAAAGGAAUUGACGGGGAUCCGCACAAGCGGUGGAGCAUGUGGUUUAAUUUGAAGAUACGCGUAGAACCUUACCCACUCUUGACAUCUUCCGCAAAGCUAUAGAGAUAUAGUGGAGGUCAACGGAAUGACAGAUGGUGCAA
rnacentral:rRNA from 1 species